GUUUAGCCCCGCAGUACCCCACAAAGCCUUCAAGAAAAAAACGAAUUUGGAUGUGCCCAAAAUGUGUAAAAUGUAAAAGUUGUGGUACUACUUCACCAGCUUCUGGUGCUGGUUUAUUAUGGAAUUUUGAUUUACUUCUAUGUCAAUCCUGUGCAAAGUUAACUGAUAAAGGUAUAGAGUGCUUUUAAAUAAUAAAAUCUUGUUUUUAAAUG